AUACUUACCUAGCAGGGGAGACACCAUGAUCACCGAGGUGGUUUUCCCAGGGAGAGGCUUAUUAUCCAUUACACUCCAGAUGUGCUGAUCCCGUGAUUUCCCCAGCUAUAGGGAACUUGACUGUACAAUUGAAGGUAGUGGGGUACUGAAUUAGUGCUUUCCCAUG
ensembl:snRNA Gm23322 U1 spliceosomal RNA